GGCCUUCGAGCGGUGCGUGUUCCCUGUGCCAUCUACCCGGUCCUCUUGGGAAGCCGACGCGACCCACACGCCAGUCCGCCCCCCCGGCCUCGUCGUGCGAGGGGCGGCCGCGGCGCGGGCGUCGCGCGCCCCCGGACAAAGCGGCCGUUAGGCCCUCGUCCCGGUCGGGCUCCCGACGUCCCGCGAGCGCUCUCGGAUGCGGCACAUGCCGCGGGCUUCAGGGACUUCGUUCCCUGACCCGGACCUCGGUCGGUCGUUGAGCCGCCCUCGUCGAGACGACGGUCGGCCCGCCGUCGGGCCCAUCUCGCCCCCCGUGGGCGGGCGGGCGCCCCGGCGGCGGCGCCGGCGUCGCGGAGGACGCGCUAC
rnacentral:misc_RNA from 1 species